GGGGAUAUGUCUUAAUGGUAGAGAUCUUGUUUUGCAUAUAAGCUGUUCUGGUUCAAAUCCAGAUAUCUCCA